rnacentral:lncRNA from 1 species
CCGCCGAAUUUAAGAAGAACAAGGUCAUCCCUGUUCUGUUUUUGUUUCCCCUGCAUGCCAUCGGUAAUAGCUGUCGUUGGGGCUGUCACCAGGGUAGUGUGUUCACCACUGCCGGGAGCUGCCAGGGGAGGCGAGAGUCAGCCUACCUUGGUUGCGUGUGGGGGGAGAGGGUAUGAGAGGGAUCGGGUCCCCUGUUUUGGACGAGGAGAAG